rnacentral:lncRNA from 1 species
CCGGACGGCUGAGGGCGGGCGACGGGCGGCGCCGGCGGACGGGCCGCGACGCCAGGGAAGGUCAGGCGGCCCGGGGCGUCCUGCGACUGCCCGAGGUCGGAGGCCCGGAGGACCCGCCGCCGCCUUUGUGUCACCAGCCCCCGCCCCGCUGGACUGGCCCGGGCCGGGGCGGUUGGGCCGGCGCUGAAGAGGCUUGGCCGCCCGGGUCCACCCGUUCCCGGAUCCGCCUCGGCGGCCCCCGCGCCCGCCCAACCCCUGCCCAACCCCUCGGCUCCGCGAGUUUGGGUGAGAAGUGCGGCGGCUUUUCCCAGGGAUGGAGUUUAGAGGACGCUAAUCCUAUGUGCGAGCGGCGGACCCCGCCCGGAUUUCCCGGAGGCGCCCGGUUAGUGAGGCGACGGCGCCCACCCGCGUUCGCGGGCUCCCGACCGCCACUCCCCGGAGCCGCCGGCCCGCCCCAGCCCCGCGCGUCGCCCCGGAGGGCGGGCUGCACUCCCUCCACGCACCUGGCUGGCAGAGCGUCUCCAGGGACAAAAGGUGCCCUGGCAUCAAAGCCGAGCCCCCGCCCCCGCCGGGAUGCUGCCCUCCGGAAGGAGGGGCGCUGCCCCCAAGGUACUCUCCCCGGGCACCCAGGGGGAGGUUCCAUUUCAACCUCCGAUGAAAAACACGGCCCUCCCGGGUAUUUAGGAGGGUCUGAGGGUAAGUGCCAAGAUGGAGAAAACACACCGGCCCCUCACAGAGUAUCUCCUGAGGAAUGACAACUAUCUAGUGGGCAAGGAGGGCUUCCUGCAUAGCAGAGGGCACCCCCUCUGAUCCCCCAACGCCAAGGGAAAAAAAUCACUCUUCACCGGCUCCCCUGAGCCAGGACAGGCUCCAGUGCAGCCACCCACCUUAUAAUUUUCCGCGGAUGCUGCCUUGAUCAGAUAGAUCUGAAGAUGACUUUAAGGACUACAAGCAAAUCUCAAGGGAAAAAUUCAGACCUUGAACAACAGCCUUGAACUUUUUCAGGGUUAGACAAGUACUCCCCUGUGGAGUUUCUGCCCUUAUUUCUUCGUUCUUCUGUUAAUUCUUCCAUAUUUUAACAGAACACAGACCUGCCGAAACGACACAGGAUGGCGCUUUGCUUUUUGUUAGUUCUCCAACCUUCCAAACCCUUGGGGCACAUGCAAGCACUGUGGAAAAACUCCAUUAAACCAAGAGUCAUCUUACUCCAGAUCCCAGACUGCUUGGGAAGUUGGACAUGCAUAUUCCCAAAGAGAACAGUGUUGGAAGGAGACAGGAGAGCAGCUCGGGGGUUGGGGGUAGAGGGUAGGAAAAGAGGGCAAGAUGGAUGACUACCACUCGAGGCCAGCCUCCACUGCCUGUUAGGGCAGUAGAACCUAAGAGCCGGUCCAAGGCAACACAAAAGACAGUGAGGCUAGGUCUUUCAUUGCAGCCAACGAUCAAGAAAGCAACUCCAUCAAAUGACACUGUCUUUUAAAAAAAAAUUUUUUUUUUGAGACAGAGUCUCGCUCUGUCGCCCAGGCUGGAGUGCAGUGGUGCGAUCUUGGCUCACUGCAACCUCUGCCACCCGGGUUCAAGCAGUUCUCCCUGCCUCAGCCUCCUGAGUAGCUGAGAUUACAGGCACGCGCUACCAGGCCCGGCUAAUUUUUUUUUUUUUUGGUGGAGUCGAGGUUUUGCCAUGUUGGCCACGUUGGUCUCGAAUUCCUGACCUCAGGUGAUCCGCCCAUCUCAGCCUCCCAAAGUGCUGGGAUUUCAAGCGUUAGCCACCGCGCCCGACCAAAUGACACUGUCUUAAAUGAUUUAAUGUCUUAAAUCGGGAAAGGAGAGUAAGAGAAAGCACUCAACGGAGUCAGAGGUGUCUUGCAGCCUAGCUCUUUCCACAGACAAGCUACAUGGGCCUAUCAUCUAACCUUUUCAAGCUUCUCCGACUGCUUCUGUGUUGGAGGGAUUUGGGCUAGAGGAUCUUUUUAUUUUUUUUUAUUUUAUUUUGGUGACGGAGUCUCUCACUGUCGCCCGGGCUGAAGUGCAGUGGCGCAAUCUCAGCUCACUGCAACCUCUUUCUCCUGGGUUCACGCGAUUCUCCUGCCUCAGCCUCCCAACUAGCUGGGAUUACAGGCGCACACCACCACACCUGGCCUAUUUUUUGUAUUUUUAGUAGAGACGGGGUUUCACUAUGUUGGCCAGACUGGUCUCGAACUCCUGACCUCGUGAUCUGCCCACCUCGGCCUCCCAAAGUGCUGUGAUUACAGGCAUGAGCCACCGCACCUGGCCUGUGAUCCCAUUUUUCAAAGUAAUUAGGCUGGGUGCAGUAGCUCACGCCUGUAAUCCCAGCACUCUGGGAGGCCAAAGCGGGUGGAUCACUUGAGGCCAGCAGUUCGAGACCAGCCUGGCCAACAUGGUGAAACCCUGUGUCUACUAAAAAUACAAAAAUUAGCUCGGCAUAGUGGCACGUACCUGUACUUUCAGCUACUUGGGAGGUUGAGGCAGGAGAAUUCGCUUGAACCCGGGAGGCAGAGGUUGCAGUGAGCCAAGAUGGCACCACUGCACUCCAUUCUGGGUGACAGAGUGAGACCCUGUCUCAAAAAUAAUGAUAAUAAAAUAAAAGUAAUUAUUUAAGGCUGGGAGCGGUGGCUCAUGCCUGUAAUCACAGCACUUUGGGAGGCCGAGGUGGGUGGAUCAUGAGGUCAGGAGGUCGAGACCAUCCUGUCUAACACAGUGAAACCCUGUCUCUACUAAAAAUACAAAAAAAUUAGCCAGGCAUGGUGGCGGGCGCCUGUAGUCCCAGCUACUCGGGAGGCUGAGGCAGGAGAAUCGCUUGAACCCAGAAGGCGGAGGUUGCAGUAAGCCGAGAUCACACCACUGCACUCCAGCCUGGGUGACAGAGCGAGACUCCGUCUCAAAAAAAAUUAUUAUUAUUAUUUAAAAUAAUCAUUGGGCCUGGUGCGGUGGCUCACACCUGUAAUCCUAGCACUUUGGGAGGCCAAGGCGGGCGGAUCACGAGGUCAGGAGAUUGAGAUCCAACCUGGCCAACAUGGUGAAACCCCAUCUCUACUAAAAAUAUUUUUUUAAUUAGCUGGGCGUGGCGGCGGGCACCUGUAAUCCCAGCUAGUCGGGAGACUGAGGCAGGAGAAUCGCUUGAACCUGGGAGUCGAAGGUUUCAGUGAGCCGAGGUCGUGCCACUGCAAUCCACCUGGCCAACAGAGCAAGACUCUGUCUCUAAAAUAAUAAUUUUUAUUAUUGUUAUUCUUGACAGGCCAGUGUAGAACAGGUGGGGCAUCUAUGGUGACAGAACUGGGUUCCAAUUCUGUCCCUUCACCUGUCCCAGGUUCCUCAUCUGAAAACUGUGACCCAGUAAACCUAAUUUCAUGAGCAGCUUUCAUUAAAAUUGAAAUAAUGGUGGAAAAUGCCUUGUAACCGUGCUUGAUGUAGAGUAGUUACUUAGCCAGUUAUUUCCUCUCUUCUUCCCAUUCCUAACAAAAUGGAAAAACGUUUGGUUGCUAGGAAAGAGCCUUAAGGGGAUUUUGUUGUUGUUUGACUCUAUCGCCCAGGAUGGAGUGCAAUGGCACAAUCUCUGCUCAGUGCAACCUCCGCCAUAGACAGGAGCCAAGCGUAGUGGUGUGCACCUGUCGGUAGUUCCAGCCUCUUAGGAGGCUGAGGCAGGAGGAUUGCUUGAGGCCAGGAGUUUGAGUCUAGCUUGGGCAAUAUAUUGAAACCUUGUCUCUUAAAAAAAAAAAAAAAAAAGAGGCCAGGUGUGGUGGCUCACACCUGUAAUCCCAGCACAUUGGGAGGCCGAGGCAGUGGAUCACUUGACACCAGGAGUUCGAGACCAGCCUGGGCAACAUGCAAACUUAUGUCUUUUAGGCCGGGCGCGGUGGCUCACACCUGUAAUACCAGCACUUUGGUAGGCCGAGGCGGGCAGAUCACGAGGUCAGGAGAUCGAGACCAUCCUGGCUAAGAUGAAACCCAGUCUCUACUAAAAAUAAAAAAAAAUUAGCCGGGUGUGGUGGCUGGCGCCUGUAGUCCCGGCUACUUGGGAGGCUGAGGCAGGAGAAUGGCAUGAACCCAGGAGGUGGAGUUUGCAGUAAGCCAAGACAGCACCACUGCACUCCAGCCCAGGCAACAGAGCUAGACGCCCUCUCAAAAAAAAAAAAAAAUUACAUCUUUAAAAAAAAAUGCAGGGCCGGGUGCGGUGGCUCAUGCCUGUAAUCCCAGCACUUUGGGAGGCCGAGGCGGGCGAAUCACGAGGUCAGGAGAUCGAGAGCAUCCUGGCUAACACAGUGAAACCCUGUCUCUAGUAAAAAUACAAAAAAUUAGCCAGGCGUGGCAGCAUGCGUCUGUAGUCCCAGCUGCUGGGGAGGCUGAGGCAGGAGAAUGGCGUGAACCCAGGAGGCAGAGCUUGCAGUGAGCCAAGGUCCCGCCACUGCACUCCAGCCUGGGCGACAGAGCGAGACUCGGUCUCAAAAAAUAAUAAUUAACAAAAAAAAAAAAAUACAAAAGUUAGUUGCACAUGUUGCCAUAUGCUCGUGGUCCCAGCUACUCAGCAGGCUGAGGUUGGGAGAUCACUUGAGCCCAGAAGGUGGAGGUUGCAGUGAGCUGAGAACCCACCAUUGUACUCCAGCCUGCGUGUCAGUGAGAUUCUGUCUCAAAAAAAAAAAGAAAAGAAAAAAAAUCUAGGCUAUGCUCCCUAGUAUGGGAAAUCUAGUCUAGUCAUUUGACAGAAUCAGGCUUUGCAGGCCAUAUUGUCUCUGUCGUAACUACCAACUCUGCUGGUUAAAAGGGAAGUAGCCACAAACAAUAUCUGAAUGAUGGAUUAUGGCUGUGUUCCAAUAAAACUUUAUUUGCAAAAACAGGUUGCUGGUUGCAAGGUAGUUUUCCAACCUCUACGUGAUUCUCAGACUUUAGGUUGCAUCAUAAUCACCUGGAGGGCUUGUUCAAACGCAGAUUGCUGGGCCCCACCCCCAGAAUUUUUGAUUCAGCCAGUCUGGGGUGGGGCUGAUAUUUGUAUUUCUACCAACUUUCCAGGUGAGGCUGGCUGAUGAUGGUCUGGAAACCACUUUGAAAACCUCUGAAGCUUUUCUCAACUCCCUUCUUUGUGUACCUAAAACACUUUAUCCCUACUGUAGAUGUAGCAUUAGCGUGUUAUAUUAGUUUAGUGAUUGGUGUGUGGGUCUCUGGGAGCCUUUCUGAAUCACCUCCCUAGCCUAGUGCCUGACAAUAGCAAUUUGCUCCCCAUUCAUUGACUGAACUGAAACCGGAGGGUCAUGGUCAUCAUCAUUGUUCCAAGCCAUAGAUAGAAGAUGAAGUCACCACCCCUGAUCUCAGAGCUCAUCAGAGUAGAGCUUGGGCUGGACCCUGCCCUUCUCUGCAGUGAGCAGUUUUCUCUGUGGAGCUCUGUGCAACCUGGAGCCAGUCCUGCCUGGGGUAAGAGGAAAAAAGACUCCUUCCCCCCAGCCCCACAGCCUGUACGCAAACACACCGGGAGACAUGACCUGCUCAGAGGAGACCUGGAACCAAGGGAAUAAAAUGAGAGUGGGUUGGGGGCUGCUGUUAGUUAUUUUUUGCUUGUAAGUGGACAAUUUGUGGUGUGGUGUGUGAAUUUGGGGUCUUAAAUCCAGAUAGCUGUCUGCUGUGGACAGCCACUGUUUCUGAAUUACAGGGCAUUUCAAGUGACCUGUGGUCAGGAUGUUUUCUCAGAUCAGGCAAAAUCAAUUGGUCCUGAUAAUAACCAGGGGAGUUGUACUUUCCCUAUCUUGAGUAGAAGAAGCCACAGCUCCCGGGUCCACCUGCCU